AACAAACCUCCUUCCCCAAAGAAACACCCCCCAAAACACCCCAACAACUCACCAAACAGAAAAUCACCAACAACCAAAAAGCAGAAGUAACAAACAUGAACUGCAAGUGGAGGAAGAGUUUGAAAGCGGGCUGGACAGAAGCAGAAGUAUUACUGCCCACUCUUAGGCCACUGUGCUGAUUAAAUGGGUGUUGUUAGGUUUAGAUUAGUAGUUCGUUGUUGUUGGGUUUUUCAGUGGUGUUGGUUUUUUUGUUGUCGUUGUGGGGGAUUGUUUGUUUGUUUGUUUUUAUUUUGGUUUUUUUUCUGUAUUAAGAAUCUGGCUCAGUUACUCUCUAGUUCUGGUGUGUUCUCUUUUCCAGGUGGUUGGUGUUUCUGCAGUGUUUGGCACAGGACUGGGGGAGAUUUUUACCCAGCUUUCUAAAGCUGUAGAUGAAUAGGAGAGACUGAAUGCACUCCCUUUAUUCACCUUUUCAGAGAGUAUCGGCCAGAAUACGAGCACCUGAGAAAAACGCUGGACAGUUCUCUGCAGGCACAGCUACACAGAGUUUGGCUUCCCGGCGCUGCUGAAAACGUCCUAGAAUCCCACCUGACUGGAGGUUGCUUUCCAUGCUUAGUCAGAAGUUCUGUGUAACCUGAGUUGAAAUGUAAGACCUGCAUAGUGACUUCUGCUCUCUGACUGGGGGACAGGCUGCUGGGUUUGGGUGAGGUUUCUCUUCUCCUGGUGUUUUAAAUGUUCUCAGAAUCCACAUGUAAAUCUUUGUCUACGGGAGAAAGCUCAAAAUAAAUAAAAGAGAGAGCAGCUGGAACACUUGUGGAAGGACAUGGGCAGCGUGUGUGUGCAGGGCAGCACACUGGCAGGACCUGAUGCUUCUGCAAUGGGUCCCUCUGAGCUAAUACUAACACGAGGAACUCUCGAUGAAGAGCAAGAAGAGAGGGAGAGUGACACUGAUGACAUUGACCAUGAAGGUAAGGGAAUGAGGUCUAAAAGCUGCCUCUCAGGAAAUCCCCUCUAUAUUUCAUGACCUGGAUGGACUGUAAGGAGAGCCUAGAAAACAAGCAAACAUUCAGUCACCUGACGUGUCAGAAUCUGUAGCAGAAGCUCAGCUGCAAUGGUCAGUGCAGGGAUAUCACUCUGUAACCUUUGUGAAAGUUCAAUUGUAAAUUUUCUAUUCAAGUAAUUAAUAGGUAUAUAACACACAUAAACCAGAGAACUCGUUAGGCUUGGGGCAUGCAGUGACCUCUGAACCUGAUUGAUGCACAGAUGUGUCCAUCAUCUUUUUGGCCUUACAGCUUCUGCCCCUGGCUCUCUUCCCUUUUCCUGUGACUGUGGUCUUGGAGCAAUCUGCUAAGUUGUUACAGUGUGAUUUUUCUCUUCUAUAGCUCACAGACUUAAUCUUCAUUCUUUCCCUGUUCCACUGAUGGGUAGGAUCACUUAUUUCCUUUGCCCUGCAAUGUAGUUGAAGAUGGAAUAGACUUUCUAUGUUGCUUUGGCUAUCCUGAUUCUAACUUUUUUUCAGAAACACAAGUAGAACAAGUACUGAAAUAGCGCUGAACUUCAGCAGCAGCGGGGACUGCGCAGGAGAAGGAGGGUGGGCAGCGGGCCUGGGGCAGGCAGGGGGAUGGGGGUGGGGGCGGGCACUUAAAAGAUUUCGGCCAGGGAGCUGAUCUCAGCCAGCACCCAGUCGGGGCAGUCUAAGUCCCCGCAGGAGCAGAACUGCUGCGUGGGGAGAGGCGGUCAGAGGCGCACUGCCGCUCUGCGUCCUCCCCGCUCCCCGCCGCCGACUCCCGGCCCACCACGUCGCCGCUGCUCCCCGGUCCCCCAUGCCGCACAGUCCGCCUUCGCGAUCCGGAACCGCCCCGUGUGCCGGUGGGGGGCUCCCCGAGGGGCUCUGCAGGGGCCUUGGGGCCGGGACCCCGGGGGUGCAGCCCGACCAAGGGGCGGGGCAGGGGACGGGGUCCCGGGAGCGGGACCCGGGACGGCCACGGACCCGCGGGAAGGGUCCCUCCGACACGGCCCUAGUCCCUCCUCCUGACCACCCGAGCACCUCCCGCCACCCCGCGGGCUCCAAGCCCCGCCAAUCCGGGCCCGAGGCAGCGUCUGGCCCGCCAAUCCCGGGCCGCCUUUCUCGGCGCCGUCCAAUCACAGCCCGCCUUUUCAAUCCGGCAGCGGUCCCGCAAGCUCUGCCCGCUCAGCCGCGGCGCGGCCCCUCCGCGCGGCACCGCCCCCCCGUUCCCCUCAGGCGCUGCUGGGACCACGGAAGGGCGCCCCGGGCUGCAGAGAUACCCAGGAGCAGAUUUAGGCAGAGGCAGCAGAAAGCUGAGGCAGAGGCAGCAGAAAGCUGAGGACCUGGAGCUCAGGCAGCAGAGCUGGUGGAGACAUAAAGACGGAAACGAAGGGGAAGUUUUCCUGUUGUGAGCUUAAAUACCGAGUCUGCUCUGCUUUUUCCAUCAGGUGACGAAGCUUAUGGAAAAAAAGACCAAAGGCCUCGAGGGAUGUUAUUCUUGACCCCCCGGGGCAAACGGAGGUAUUCACCUGGUCAGCGUCAGGAGCCAUCCUACCUGAGGCCCUGGUAGGUAAGUGAUUUUUGUGUGACUGGACGGUGAAGCUGUCUGUGUGCAUGACCUGGCCAGUGCUCGGUGUACUCCUAAUUAAAGUGUCUUUUACUCCGUGUUCCCAGGCUCCCUCUUUCCCUUCGGUUGCCACGUGUGUGCCGGACACCUCUGGCAGGACUAACCCUGUGGCUUUUAUGUCCAACGUGCUGUGUGCCUGCAGUAUCCUGUCCAAGACCAAGCUACCUUUCCUCGUUGGAAUGGACUGGCCGGGCUUUGGCAGUCUGGCCCCUCGAAAGACUAAAGUGACCUCUUCCAGCAGGGGAAGACUUUCUGGCAAGCGGUACCAGAAAGAACUGGAGUUUCUGGAGAAUAAAAGCUGGAGGUGUGCCCCCGAUAAUCCUCGCCCCGGGUGGUGAGUGGUCUGACUUGCAGGGACCGGUGGCCUUGGCCAGGAGCGGUCCUGCCGGACUGUAAUUUUAAUUUCCUGCCUAGGCUGUAAUUUUAAUUUCCUUUGGAUGCUUGGCAAAGCCCUUCUGGGGGAGCCCUAGUGCCUGGCAUGAGCGGAGCGGGCUUCCAGGGAGGUAUUCACCUGGUCAGCGUCAGGAACCAUCCUCCCUGAAGCCUCGGCUCCCUCUUUCCCUUCGGUUGCCGUGGAUGUGCCGGACACCUCUGGCAGGACUAACCCUGUGGCUUUUAUGUCCAACGUGCUGUGUGCCUGCAGGUAAGAAAAGCUGGGAGUGCAGUCCCUCUGCUUUGCUUGCUGUGUCUCUUGGGUAGUGAUUUUGGAGGGGAAUCCCAGAGCGAUUUGGUUUGAAGGGGACCUUCAAAGGCCACCCUGUCU